rnacentral:rRNA from 1 species
AGGGUGACUUAGCGGCGGACGGGUGAGUAACGCGUGGGCAACCUGCCUUACACAGGGGGAUAACAAUUAGAAAUGAUUGCUAAUACCGCAUAAGACCCCAGUACCGCAUGGUACAGGGGUAAAAACUGAGGUGGUGUAAGACGGGCCCGCGUCUGAUUAGGUAGUUGGUGGGGGUAGAAGCCUACCAAGCCGACGAUCAGUAGCCGACCUGAGAGGGCGACCGGCCACAUUGGGACUGAGACACGGCCCAAACUCCUACGGAAGGCAGCAG